GACGAACUCUGGCGGCGUGCUUAACACAUGCAAGUCGAACGGAAAGGCCCUGCUUUUGUGGGGUGCUCGAGUGGCGAACGGGUGAGUAACACGUGAGUAACCUGCCCUUGACUUUGGGAUAACUUCAGGAAACUGGGGCUAAUACCGGAUAGGAGCUCCUGCUGCAUGGUGGGGGUUGGAAAGUUUCGGCGGUUGGGGAUGGACUCGCGGCUUAUCAGCUUGUUGGUGGGGUAGUGGCUUACCAAGGCUUUGACGGGUAGCCGGCCUGAGAGGGUGACCGGCCACAUUGGGACUGAGAUACGGCCCAGACUCCUACGGGAGGCAGCAGUGGGGAAUAUUGCACAAUGGGCGGAAGCCUGAUGCAGCAACGCCGCGUGCGGGAUGACGGCCUUCGGGUUGUAAACCGCUUUCGCCUGUGACGAAGCGUGAGUGACGGUAAUGGGUAAAGAAGCACCGGCUAACUACGUGCCAGCAGCCGCGGUGAUACGUAGGGUGCGAGCGUUGUCCGGAUUUAUUGGGCGUAAAGGGCUCGUAGGUGGUUGAUCGCGUCGGAAGUGUAAUCUUGGGGCUUAACCCUGAGCGUGCUUUCGAUACGGGUUGACUUGAGGAAGGUAGGGGAGAAUGGAAUUCCUGGUGGAGCGGUGGAAUGCGCAGAUAUCAGGAGGAACACCAGUGGCGAAGGCGGUUCUCUGGGCCUUUCCUGACGCUGAGGAGCGAAAGCGUGGGGAGCGAACAGGCUUAGAUACCCUGGUAGUCCACGCUGUAAACGGUGGGUACUAGGUGUGGGGUCCAUUCCACGGGUUCCGUGCCGUAGCUAACGCUUUAAGUACCCCGCCUGGGGAGUACGGCCGCAAGGCUAAAACUCAAAGGAAUUGACGGGGCCCCGCACAAGCGGCGGAGCAUGCGGAUUAAUUCGAUGCAACGCGUAGAACCUUACCUGGGUUUGACAUGGAUCGGGAGUGCUCAGAGAUGGGUGUGCCUCUUUUGGGGUCGGUUCACAGGUGGUGCAUGGCUGUCGUCAGCUCGUGUCGUGAGAUGUUGGGUUAAGUCCCGCAACGAGUGCAACCCUUGUUCACUGUUGCCAGCACGUUAUGGUGGGGACUCAGUGGAGACCGCCGGGGUCAACUCGGAGGAAGGUGGGGAUGACGUCAAGUCAUCAUGCCCCUUAUGUCCAGGGCUUCACGCAUGCUACAAUGGCUGGUACAGAGAGUGGCGAGCCUGUGAGGGUGAGCGAAUCUCGGAAAGCCGGUCUCAGUUCGGGUUGGGGUCUGCAACUCGACCUCAUGAAGUCGGAGUCGCUAGUAGUCGCAGAUCAGCAACGCUGCGGUGAAUACGUUCCCGGGGCU
rnacentral:rRNA from 1 species